rnacentral:misc_RNA from 1 species
GCAAACUUGGUCAUUUAGAGGAAGUAAAAGUCGUAACAAGGUUUCCGUAGGUGAACCUGCGGAAGGAUCAUUAAUGAGUUGUAAAUGGGCUUGAUGCUGGCAUCUAAUUUUUUUUUUGGGUGCAUGUGCUCGCUCUAACAAUCAUUCCAAACACCUGUGCACAUAUUCUUGAAGGGGGUGCUGAAUUUUUCGGUGCCCCUUACACAAAACAUUAAUGAAUAAAUUAUGAACGUGAUUUGUGCCGCAAGGCCUUAACAAUAUAUAAAUACAACUUUUAACAACGGAUCUCUUGGCUCUCGCAUCGAUGAAGAACGCAGC